GACGGAGGAGGCUAGCGUUGUUCGGAAUUACUGGGCGUAAAGCGCACGCAGGUGGCGGUUCAAGUCGGAUGUGAAAGCCCGGGGCUCAACCCCGGAUGUGCAUCCGAUACUGGAUUGCUAGAGUCCGAAAGAGGAGAGUGGAAUUCCCAGUGUAGAGGUGAAAUUCGUAGAUAUUGGGAAGAACACCGGUGGCGAAGGCGACUCUCUGGUUCGGUACUGACACUCAAGUGCGAAAGCGUGGGGAGCAAACAGG
rnacentral:rRNA from 1 species